CGUGAGCAACCUGCCUUUCAGAGGGGGACAACAGUUGGAAACGACUGCUAAUACCGCAUAACAUAUUCGAACGGCAUCGUUUGAAUAUCAAAGGAGCAAUCCGCUGAAAGAUGGGCUCGCGUCUGAUUAGAUAGUUGGUGAGGUAACGGCCCACCAAGUCGACGAUCAGUAGCCGGACUGAGAGGUUGAUCGGCCACAUUGGGACUGAGACACGGCCCAGACUCCUACGGGAGGCAGCAGUGGGGGAUAUUGGACAAUGGGGGAAACCCUGAUCCAGCGAUGCCGCGUGAGGGAAGAAGGUUUUCGGAUUGUAAACCUCUGUGGACAGUGACGAUAAUGACGGUAGCUGUUUAGAAAGCCACGGCUAACUACGUGCCAGCAGCCGCGGUAAUACGUAGGUGGCGAGCGUUGUCCGGAAUUACUGGGUGUAAAGGGAGUGCAGGCGGGACUGCAAGUCAGAAGUGAAAAUUAUGGGCUUAACCCAUAACCUGCUUUUGAAACUGUAGUUCUUGAGUGAGGCAGAGGCAAGCGGAAUUCCUAGUGUAGCGGUGAAAUGCGUAGAUAUUAGGAGGAACACCAGUGGCGAAGGCGGCUUGCUGGGCCUUUACUGACGCUGAGGCUCGAA
rnacentral:rRNA from 1 species